UGCAUCUUCCUCCUGUUUGGUGCGGGGAGGCAGCAUGCCCUCUCCAUAUGGCGCUUGGCAGAACCGUCACCAUGUGGCCCUGGGAGCUAUGGAAACCCUGCGUCUACAGCCGCCCUGGGAGUCACCAAGCCAACCCGCCCCUGGAGAGCCAGGCCCUCGGUGCACCUGGGAGCUGCAAAGUGUGGUCUGUGGGUCCACCUGACCCUUUUCCACCGUCUUUCCUCGGGCGACGCCUUCGCUAUGCGCUCGCAGCGGAUGGGGAGAGAUGUGCCAAGUGCAAAGCCUGGGCGGAGAGCUGGCCUGAAGCCAGGGCAGCAGCAGGAUGGCCCCAGGAGGCUGAGCUGGUUUCCGCCUCCCGGGAUGGAGGAAGCCGCCGGCCUGGUCCCUGAGGAGACACUUGUGGACGAAGCCCCCCCCGUGGACGAUGGUAACUGAUAGAGGCCUUGUCACCAAUCACACGUUUCAUUCAACAGCAGAGAAGGCAAAUGAUGUGCUUCCUAGUUGCCCUUUAGUCGCCUUUUGUCAGAGAGGCUGCAUCUUGGAAACCCCUGUUUUUUCUCAGGAAGGUAGCGUCUCUUAUCCUGCCUUUAGUGGGACGAGACGUUGCAGCCGAGACGUCUGAGAGUGACAAGUCUGAGGCCACUUUUGUUUUCUGUUCCUGGAAGCUUUUAUUUUAUUUUAUUUUAUUUAUUUAUUUAUUUAUUUAUUUGCCUUUUCUAGGGCCGCUCCCGUGGCACAUGGAGGUUCCCAGGCUAGGGGUCGAAUCGGAGCUGUAGCUGCCGUCCUACACCACAGCCACAGUCACAGCAACACAGGAUUCGAGCCAUGUCUGUGACCUACAGCACAGCGCACGGCAACACCGGAUCCUUAACCCACUGAGCAAGGGGCAGAGACCGAACCUGCAACCUCAUGGUUCCUAGUUGGAUUCGUUAACCACUGAGGCACGACAGGAACUCCAAUCUUUUCCUGGAAGCUUUUAGAUGUUAAAAAAAAAAAAAAACAACAACAGAUGAUCUGCCAUUUCUGAGAUCUGCCCUGAUUUGGGCCGGAGCUGGACGCCAGGCAGGACACCAGGCAGGACACCAGGCAGGACACCAGGCUGGACACCAGGCGGGACCCCAGGCAGGAUAGUCUGACCUGGAAACGCCUCCUCGCCCCCCGCCCCACCCCAGGUGUUCUGCUGAGUCAGCCCCACGUGUCUUCUGAUGGUGGGUUGACUCCUAGAAUUUUGCUUCAGUCAUCCCACUGAGGUUUAAUGACGGAGCGAGCAGCCCAAGCCGUGCUGUUUGCCGUGUUUUCCUGCAUGUCUGCAGUGAGUUCUAGGACAGUAAUUCCCCGACUGUUUUGCCAGGGAACACCUCCUUUUUUUUUUUUUUUUUUUUUUGGCCAUUCCUGUGACAUGCAAAAGUUCCCCGGCCAGCCAUCAAGCCCACAUCAUAGCAGUGACCUGAGCUACAGCAGUGACAGCACCAGACCCUUCACCUGCUGGGACACCAGGGAGCUCCCCCCUUACAUGCCCAAAAAGUACUGACCCAAAGGGCUUUGGUGCUUAUAUCUUUCAGUGUUGACCAUAUUAAAGCGAAAGCUGGAUCUCUCGUCGUGGUGCAGUGGAACAGAAUCCAACUAGUUUCCAUGAGGAUGCAGGUUCAAUCUCUGCCCUCACUCAGUGGGUUAAGGAUCCGGCAUUGCCAUGAGCUGUGGUGUAGGUUGCAGAUGCAGCUCAGAUCCCAUGUUGCUGUGGCUGUGGGGUAGAUCGGCGGCUACAGCCCAGAUUUGACCCCUAGCCUGGGAACUUCCAUAUGCCAAGGGUGUAGCCCCAAAAAGCAAAAAAUAAAAAAAUAAAACUAAAGCUGAGGAGUUCCCACUGUGGCACAGCAGGUUAGGGAUCUGGUAUUGUCUCUGCAGGGGCUCAGGUUCAAUCCCUGGCCCAGCACAGUGGGUUAAGGAUCCAGAAUGGCUGCAAACUGUGGCUCAGAUUCAAUCCCUGGCCAAAAAAAAAAGAAAAAAAAAAAAACAAGUAAACUUGAAAAAAAGUUCGUGUUUGUUUACUCACGACAGCAGUCACGAACCCAUAUGUGACAUAAAGAGCCCGGGCUGAGAGAAGACAGCCGGGCUUCACAUUUGCACCUGUUGGUCUGUGUCAGUAACAGCUGCCAGGUGCCUCUGGGAGGUGCUAUGCACUCGUGAGACAAAGAAGGAAGACGUGCAGUGCUUCACUGUUGUCAUGGAGAUAGCUUUGUCCUUCCGACCCUGUGAAGAGCUUUAGGAGCCCCGCCGGGUGCCCUGGGCCAGGCGCUGAGGGCCACUGCUCCGAGACGCCGGCGCUGCCCGGCCAGCUUGAGCUGGUCAGGGCUUAUCCGAGAACUUCAGACUCGAAUGUCUAGAUCCGCUUUUAACUUUUAACUCUUUUUUAAAUUUUAACUCU
rnacentral:lncRNA from 1 species